GAAGUUCGCCAGGCAAUCGCUGUGCGCUCGUCGCAUGGAGGAAAGUCCGGGCCCCGCAGAGCAGGAUGCCGGCUAACGGCCGGGCGCCAUAGCCGCGAGGUGAAAGCGACGGAAAGUGCCGCCCGAAGGGGCGGCUCCAGGGUGGGUGACGGUCCGGGUCGGGCAAUCGGCGGAGCAAUCCUCAUCACCGCCUGGGGCAACAGAAAUUAAACCGCCGACGGUGCCGGGCACCGGGCAAGGGUGAAAGGGUGGGGUAAGAGCCCACCGCGGCCCUGGCAACAGGGAUGGCAUGGCAAACCCCAUCCGGGGCAAGGCCAAAUAGGGGGGCGUAGACGCGGCUCGCCGAGCCCCCGGGUAGGCUGCUAGAGCGCAUCGGUAACGGUGCGCCCAGAGGAAUGAUUGCCCGUCGGCGUCGCCGCAAGGCGCCUCCGACCGACAGAACCCGGCUUAUCGGCGGACUUCCCAA
rnacentral:RNase_P_RNA from 1 species